AAAUCAUUUUAUUGCAAACUACUAGUAUCCUGUCUUAUUUUUAACUUUGUGACCAGUCACAUAUUUUGGGCUCCAAUAAAAUGCUAUUCUUGUGUUACUUUUCUUAGAAAAUGAACAAAUGAUUUUUAUAAAUUGAAUUCACCUCUUUAACUUUUCUUCCCUCAUUCAGUUCCCAUUGUAUUUAUUUUAAAUAAUAACUGGGCAGAAUUCACUCAACGCCUUUGUAGUUCAGAAUUCAGAUAUAAUGCUAUUAUCUAAGUCAAGGUUUUCAUGUGCAAGGUUGCUUCUAUAAAUAUGAUUUCAGGCCUUGUUAUGAUCUUUUAUGUUAACAAUAUACCAAUGACAUCUGUUUCAACUAUUGAAAUUCUGUAAUAAAGGAUAACUCUGGA
rnacentral:misc_RNA from 1 species